UGGGUGGUAAACAUCACCUAAGGCUAAAUAUUGGCGAGAGACCGAUAGCGAACAAGUACCGUGAGGGAAAGAUGAAAAGAACUUUGAAAAGAGAGUUAAACAGUGCGUGAAAUUGUUGAAAGGGAAACGAUUGAAGUCAGUCGUGCUGGCGCGAAAUCAACCCUCUCGUCGAGAGGUCACAUGGCGUGGCGAGCCUCAAAACCGUCACGAAGCGUGAACUCUUGGCGAAAAGGAGCACUUUCGUGUCCGCUGGUUAACAUCAAUUUCGAACGUCAUAAAAAGGCUGGAGGGAUGUGGCUCCUUCGGGAGUGUUAUAACCUUUAGCGGAAUGUGGUGUUCGGGAUUGAGGAUUGCAACGAAUACCUUUAGGGCUGUUCCACCUGGCUUCUCUUUGGUAUCCUGGUGAAGACAGCUUGCUGACUUUGUUAGGAUUCGCCUUUGAACAGGCUAGAGUGUGAGCAAAUUCGUUAAGGAUGUUAACGUAAUGGCUUUAAACGACCCGUCUUGAAACACGGACCAAGGAGUCUAGCAUAUAUGCGAGUGUUUGAGUGUUGAAACUCGAGCGCGAAAUGAAAGUGAUAUUGGUAAGAUCCUCUUCCCCUCGGGGGAGCGGAGCAUUAUCGACC
rnacentral:rRNA from 1 species